rnacentral:rRNA from 1 species
UACGGAGGGUGCAAGCGUUAUCCGGAUUCACUGGGUUUAAAGGGUGCGUAGGUGGGCAGGUAAGUCAGUGGUGAAAUCUCCGAGCUUAACUCGGAAACUGCCGUUGAUACUAUUUGUCUUGAAUAUUGUGGAGGUAAGCGGAAUAUGUCAUGUAGCGGUGAAAUGCUUAGAUAUGACAUAGAACACCAAUUGCGAAGGCAGCUUACUACACAAUUAUUGACGCUGAGGCACGAAAGCGUGGGGAGCAAACAGG